rnacentral:lncRNA from 1 species
AUUUAAAAAAGAACUAAAUUAUUAUUGGACAUACUAAUUUUGUGAACCAUUUGAAGCAUUGGAUUCUUGACUUCCUAAGCUUCAAAACCAUAUGUAGCUUGCCCCAAGAAACUGAAGAGAGGCAGUCUUGAUUUUGAGUCAAAGUGAAAGGUGUUGUACUGCCAUGGAUCUAAAAAUAGAAAAAGAAACUUUCAAAAAUCUUUCUCUUAUCAUCUCCUCCCCUUUGUACUUUUGCCCUAGUUCCGCCCGGCACUGAAGUCGACCCUCCUACCACGUCAUAUUUGGUUGCUUGAGGAAAGAAAAGAAAGAGAAGAAAGAAAAGAAAACUUGGGAGUAAUUUGUUUUUGGG